rnacentral:rRNA from 1 species
UGGGGAAUAUUGCACAAUGGGCGCAAGCCUGAUGCAGCCAUGCCGCGUGUAUGAAGAAGGCCUUCGGGUUGUAAAGUACUUUCAGUCGGGAGGAAGGUGGUAAGGUUAAUAACCUUAUCAAUUGACGUUACCGACAGAAGAAGCACCGGCUAACUCCGUGCCAGCAGCCGCGGUAAUACGGAGGGUGCAAGCGUUAAUCGGAAUUACUGGGCGUAAAGCGCACGCAGGCGGUUGAUUGAGUCAGAUGUGAAAUCCCCGGGCUUAACCCGGGAAUUGCAUCUGAUACUGGUCAGCUAGAGUCUUGUAGAGGGGGGUAGAAUUCCAUGUGUAGCGGUGAAAUGCGUAGAGAUGUGGAGGAAUACCGGUGGCGAAGGCGGCCCCCGGGACAAAGACUGACGCUCAGGUGCGAAAGCGUGGGGAGCAAACAGG